rnacentral:rRNA from 1 species
GCCAGCAUCUUUAUUACCCUGUAACUCACAACUGGCAGCACACUGGAGCUAAGCAGGUGUGAGCCUGGCCAGUACCUGGAUGGGAGACCUCCUGGGAAAGCUAAUGUUGCUGCUGGAA